rnacentral:rRNA from 1 species
AAAUUACCCACUCCCGGCACGGGGAGGUAGUGACGAAAAAUAACGAUACGGGACUCAUCCGAGGCCCCGUAAUCGGAAUGAGUACACUUUAAAUCCUUUAACGAGGAUCAAUUGGAGGGUAAGUCUGGUGCCAGCAGCCGCGGUAAUUCCAGCUCCAAUAGCGUAUAUUAAAGUUGUUGCGGUUAAAAAGCUCGUAGUCGAAUCUGUGUCUCGCGCCGCUGGUUCAUCGCUCGCGGUGUUCAACUGGCGUGUUUCGCGGGACGUCCUGCCGGUGGGCGCACGUAUCGUUUCGGCGGUGCGUGGUCCUACUCGUAUCCGUCUAGCGCGGUUGCGAGUCCUGUCGCGGUGCUCUUUAUUGAGUGUCGAGGUAGGCCGGCACAUUUACUUUGAACAAAUUAGAGUGCUCAAAGCAGGCCAAUUUUGCCUGAAUAUUCUGUGCAUGGAAUAAUGGAAAAGGACCUCGGUUCUAUUUUGUUGGUUUUCGGAACCCCGAGGUAAUGAUUAAUAGGAACGGAUGGGGGCAUUCGUAUUGCAACGUUAGAGGUGAAAUUCUUGGAUCGUUGCAAGACGGACUAAAGCGAAAGCAUUUGCCAAAAACGCUUUCAUUGAUCAAGAACGAAAGUUAGAGGCUCGAAGGCGAUCAGAUACCGCCCUAGUUCUAACCAUAAACGAUGCCAGCUAGCGAUCUGCCGACGUUCCUCCGAUGACUCGGCGGGCAGCUUCCGGGAAACCAAAGCUUUUGGGUUCCGGGGGAAGUAUGGUUGCAAAGCUGAAACUUAAAGGAAUUGACGGAAGGGCACCACCAGGAGUGGAGCCUGCGGCUUAAUUUGACUCAACACGGGAAACUUCACCAGGCCCUGACACCGGAAGGAUUGACAGAUUGAGAGCUCUUUCUUGAUUCGGUGGGUGGUGGUGCAUGGCCGUCUUAG